UUCAGUUGGGAUUAGAGGAGGGUAAAGUCACUGAAGCCCAACAGUUCCCAGAAUUCUGACACGGAGGCAUGUGCCUAUGAGAUCUUCUUUUCAGGCAUCCAUCCUUCCUGGCCCACCUUCAGUACUGAGGAAUUACAGCAGAAAACAUGAAGAAUUGGUGCUUGCUGACUUGCCUGGGAUUGUAAGUUGUAUCCUGGUACUCUGAGCCUCAUGGAUUUGGGAAGGGAAAUUCUCCCUCAAUGGAACGACUUCCAUCCAAGACUGUUCUGCUCUUCAUCUCCAGAAAGAAGCAAAGGACCUCAAAUCUCAGCAUGUACACCAGUAGGAUCAGGCUGAACAGUUUCAAGCUUUGUGUUUCAGUCCUCAGAGCCACCAUACAAGGCCUCUGUGGAAGACUCAUUAUCUGGUAUGGUAGAGGACCUGAAAUGGCUGCCACCUAAAGGCCAAGACUGCCCCUCCAGUGCCUCUGAAGCCUGAGGCAGAGGUCAGCCAACAACACAGGAACACUUGGUUGGCCACAUCAGGUUCAGGACUGUACUUUGGAUGAGCCCUGAGACCUGGAUGAACAGAGGUCUCUUGAAUUCUUGUGAAGGAACUUCCAUGUUGUUUUGCCUGUGGCUCCACCAAUUUACAUUCUUGCCUGGAGUGCACACAGAUAUCCUUUGUGAGGCAGUGGACUGUGUCACCAGAGGACCAUGACAACCGGUGACAUUGCAUAGAGUUUUCUAUUGUGAUGGGGUAUCUAGCUAGGCUCUAAGUGAUUAGCCAAUGAGCUUCCCUCCAAUUCUGUGAAAGAUAUUCAAUCUCUGGUUCACCCAGAGUAAGACUUGUGCAUUUUCAUCUACCCUGAAUAAAACAGUUUAGACAAGCAA